rnacentral:hammerhead_ribozyme from 1 species
AUCCUGUUGACGAGUCUCAGACCGGACGAAACGCGCGUCCUGGAU